CUUAUAGGCCGCAAGGUGAAGCACGAAAAGUCCUUUAGAAAAUGAAUCCCGUUCCACUCACUGGCAUCUACACAAUCUUUAGCUUAUAAAAAAGAACGAGUCGUGGUUAGUUACCAAAAAAAAGUUCGUCGCUGAUUUUCCAGUCGAUUGUCUAUAUGGCUUUGUUUUAUGCAGAACUAGAGACUUCAGAGCGUAAUAAGAUUUUUGUCGGGAGCCGUGCCACGGUUCGACACGUGAUCAUGCUACACCAAUGAGAAGGCUGCUUUUUGACAACAGAAUGGAAAAAUGGCGGCUCCCGUGUGGUUAGAAACAACGUUAAUGAUAGAGGAAAACACCCGAACAUCCUCAAAAGUGGGCUAAAUUAAUUCUAAUUAGUGCUGUAUACAUAGCCGCGUCCAAGAAUAACAAUGAGGCAAAUAUACGAUAAUGUUAUUUUUAUGGCAACAUGGUGUUCAAUUCCACUGCUAUGCUGACGACACCCAGCUCUACCUUUCAACAAAGCCCACUGCUACACUUCCGCCAGCUGUACUUACUGCCUGCCUCCAUGACAUCAACUUAUGGAUGACACAAAAUUACCUCAAACUUAAUAGCAGUAAGACUGAGCUGCUAGUGGUUGGCUCCAAAUCAGCUCUUGCUAAGAUGGAACCUUUCACCAUAUGUGUAGAUGGCAGCACCAUCCCUUGCUCCAACCAGGUCAAGAGCCUUGGUGUCAUACUGGACAAUACACUAUCAUUCAGUGCACACAUUGUGGCAUCCCGCCACGGAAGCCUCGGCCUGGACAGGCCCGGGGUACCGUAAAGGACUGGGUAUACCACCCCCACCCACCAGCCGGCGAUGGAGAGCAGCCCAUUCGGCUCCCCAAUCAGGGUGAUUGGGGGACACCUGGCCGAAAGCUGAGGAGCCAUUUUAAAAGGAGGCACAGCACAGCACAGCACGGGUCGGGAGAGCAAGGAAGAAGGUGGCGCUCUGGUGAGAGAGAGCCUGGAGGCCCACGGAGGCCCUAGAGACCGCGUCUCCUUCGUUGUUCUGAUUUGAAGUGAGUGUUAAUAAAUGCCUGAAAUGGCUUAUACUUCACACCAAAGUGUCGUUUGUCCGUGGAACCCGGCCCAACCGAGCGCCGGGUUGCCACAACAUAAACAGUAUGUCAAGAUGUGCCUUUUACCAUCUAAGGAACAUUGCACGGCUUCGCCCAGCGCUCACCCAGCAGAAUGCAGAAGUCCUUGUGAAUGCAUAUGUGACAUCCCGCCUCGACUACUGUAAUUCCAUCUUGUCUGGAAUCCCAAAUAAGCUACUCCACCGGCUCCAACUCAUCCAGAAUUCUGCAGCAAGGAUUGUAACACGCUCUAAAUCCACCAGCCAUGUAACACCAUUGCUUAUCCAACUGCACUGGCUUCCAGUAGCCUACCGAAUUCAAUUUAAAGUCCUGCUCCUGACCUACAAGUCCCUACACAACAAUACCCCCACCUACCUCUCUGACCUCCUGGAAUCCUACACUCCUGCCCGCUCACUGAGAUCCUCCACAGCAGGCCUACUGCAUGUCCCUAAGGCGAACCUCAGCACCCUGGGAGAGAGGGCUUUCAGCUACAUCGCCCCCAAGUUGUGGAAUUCACUGCCAGACUACAUCAGACACUGUGACUCAAUUACUGACUUUAAAAGCAGACUUAAAACUAAUUUCUUCAAGAUAGCUUAUGGACUGACUGACUGACUAUUAUUUUUCUUAUUUUUAUUUAUUUCUAUGAGAUUAUUGUAAUUGUAAUGAGAUGAUUGUUUGUGAAGCGACCUUGGGUGUCAUGAAAGGCGCUUUAAAUAAAAUGUAUUAUUAUUAUUUUUUAUU